AAUUAUACACUACCAAUUCAAAAGGCAUCUAGCCAUGCAAUGCUACAUAAGAUCCUAUCUUCUUUUGUGCAUUGAUGGAAUAUUCGUGAAAGGAAAGCUUUGAAUAGUCACCUUUCCUUAGCCCACAAUCUUGAGCCCUUUGUUGCCUAAACCAAGGUGAUCCUAGAUUUUGUUUUCCCUCCCGUACAUUCUGCUCCUUUGCCCUUCUUGUAAAUACUUUCACAUUUAUUAAAUAAAUCCUCAAGGAAGCCUUGCCUCCUCCCAUUUACGUUAAAAAAAAAAGUUUAGGGUCAUGUGACAUAUGAAUUACCAUCCCAAUCCCAGCUAUUUAUUUGUUGGAUGGCAGAAAGAGGCAUGAAUCGAACCUCCUGUACAAUAUGAAAGCCAUAAACUUGAUGCAAGAGUUGUAUAUUUCAAGAUGAGAAACCAUAUUACCAGCAUUAAUAGUUCUAGCUAGAUCAGGCAUUCGAACAAGGACUUGGUAAAGAUACCAGUACAAACAUCAUCGCUAAUGACCUGUAGGUAUCCAGGACAUCCCGCCAUGACCGAGACGUAUUUUUUGGAUCCAAUUGCUGCAGGCCUUGAGUUUUGCCUUCCUGCAUUGAUGCUUCAAUUGAGCCACCGGUAUCCGAGAAUACAAUAUAAAGAAAUGAGGCAGCAGUUCACUUGUUUGAUGCUCCUAAUAGCAGUAAUAGAAGAAAGCAGCAGACCAUGAAGGAUUAGAGAAAAGGACACCCGUG
rnacentral:lncRNA from 1 species